CCUACGGGAGGCAGCAGUGGGGGAUAUUGCACAAUGGGGGGAACCCUGAUGCAGUGACGCCGCGUGGGUGAAGGAGUGCUUCGGCAUGUAAAGCCCUAUCGGCAGGGAAGAAGCAAGACGGUACCUGACUAAGAAGCCCCGGCUAACUACGUGCCAGCAGCCGCGGUAAUACGUAGGGGGCGAGCGUUAUCCGGAUUCACUGGGUGUAAAGGGAGCGUAGACGGCCAUGCAAGCCAGGGGUGAAAGCCCGGGGCCCAACCCCGGGACUGCCCUUGGAACUGUGCGGCUAGAGUGCGGGAGGGGCAGGCGGAAUUCCUGGUGUAGCGGUGAAAUGCGUAGAUAUCAGGAGGAACACCGGCGGCGAAGGCGGCCUGCUGGACUGCGACUGACGUUGAGGCUCGAAAGCGUGGGGAGCGAACAGGAUUAGAUACCCGGGUAGUC
rnacentral:rRNA from 1 species